rnacentral:rRNA from 1 species
AUUGAACGCUGGCGGUAUGCUUAACAUAUGCAAGUCGAACGGCAGCACGGUAUGUAGCAAUACAUAUGGGUGGCAAGUGGCGGACGGGUGAGUAACGCGUAGGAAUCUGCCCUCAAGCGGGGGACAACCCGAGGAAACUCGGGCGAAUACCGCAUAAACUCGGAAGAGAAAAGCUGGGGUAACCUGGCACUUGAGGAGGAGCCUGCGUCUGAUUAGCUAGUUGGUAGGGUAAAGGCCUACCAAGGCGAUGAUCAGUAGCUGGUCUGAGAGGAUGACCAGCCACACUGGAACUGAGACACGGUCCAGACUCCUACGGGAGGCAGCAGUGGGGAAUAUUGGACAAUGGGGGAAACCCUGAUCCAGCAAUACCGCGUGUGUGAAGAAGGCCUUCGGGUUGUAAAGCACUUUAGUUGGGGAGGAAGGUUAGCAGUUUAAGAGAUGGCUAAUUUGACUGCACCCAAAGAAUAAGCACCGGCUAACUCUGUGCCAGCAGCCGCCGUAA